AAUAAAGUGCCUGAUUAAAGGGUUAUCUUGAUAGGAUAAAUUAAGUGAUUUAUUCACCUUUAUUA
rnacentral:tRNA from 1 species